AGGUAUGUUUAUCAUCCGAUGACAUUUAUGUUGACAAUUGGCGAGGGUCUCUGCCUGUCUUCUGUCUUGUGUCUGUCUGUAUGUACGCGUCCAUUGGGUGCCAUAAAAGGGCCUUCCCUUCAAAACCCAUAAAAUAUUAUCGCCCAGAUCUCGUUUCGUUUGUCCAAGGAUCCCAUUAAAGUAAAAACACGUUGCCCAAGCGCGUGAGUAAUUAUAAUUUAUUUAAAUCGAUUACGAGGCAUCGAGAUGGUGCUCCAGACAAAAGGGAAACUCGAUCGAUUCGAAUCGAUGCGAUCUGCGUUCGCGGUCUGGGUCUGGGUCUCUCUGGUGACCCAUUUCGGAGAGCCCAGCGCAAUUAUUCAUUUAUAACGACACUAAAAAAAUGUCUGAAUAAAAAAAAAGAAGAGAAGCGAUAAGCAAACCAGUUGAAACGAUCCAUCGAUGCGUGUGCCCCAAAUAAUCUAGAGUUAUUCCACUCAAAAGGGUUGAUCUUGAACGAACACUGGAAGCUGAGCGGGCAAGCAGUCGAUCAGCUAUUAGAAGUUCUGAUAAAGAGCGAGAGAAUAAUGAAAGCCAGAAGAAGAGGUGCUAAUGAUCGUUCAAUUCUGAUGAUCGAUUGGGCAUGCGAUCGGGCUACUGUUGUGCUUCGUUGUGCUUUGUUCUGGCUCUACUUCUCUCCUUUGCCCUGUCCAUUCUUUGCUGCUAAGCCACGCUGGGAGAGAGCCUGCACUGAUCCGCUCUGCAGAACGUUUGGGGUCGUGUCUGCCCUCGUUUUGGCACUUCCUUCCACAGAUCGUGAGCUGCCGCUUUGGUUCCUGCCGUUGCCUCCUCUCUCAAAUCGGAAUGACACACAAAUGUACCUGUAUCUUUCGUUAACAAUCGCAUAAUCACACAACAAAAUGCCUGUGGAUUGGAAACAAACACAUACCUACUACCUACGGCCCAUUAAGACAGUACUUGGGGCUUAGCCAGAAAAGAAGAGCGUUCCAGUAAGGCAAGGGCACCGCAGAGCCCAGGGCCAGAGUAGAUGGAGAUCCAUCUCCACACCCCCGUUUGCUCCAUCGCCUUCUCUGAACAUUAGGUAAUCCUCAUUUCGGUUGAAAUCCACCAGAAAUUGGGUCAAAAUUUUCACCUGAAAACGUUUUUUGCCUCUAAUUUGACAGACGACAGCGACCGCAUUUUGGUGGCAUUUCUGUUUCCUUCUCUCUGUCUCGACUUCUUCUCCUUCCUCUUUGGCAGUCUGUGCUUCACUGUUUCUCCUUCCUCCCCCCUGGGUCUUCUUCUUUGGCUUCUUUGGCUUCUUUGGCUUCUUUUACUACUUUUAAACUCUCGCGUUUACAAUUUUAAUUGCGGAUGCGCACACUUUCGUUUUCGUUUCGUUUCGUUUGUGGCUGUCUGUCUCUGUCGCUCUGUUGUUGCCAUCUCUCUCUAAUGAUGUUGUUGCUAUCUCUGUUUGUUUUUACUGGAUGUCCCCACGCACUAAGUGAGGCCUACUCGAGAGGAAAGCUAGCCUCAGGGUCGAAAUAUGUGAUACCACGUGCCACACGCGAUCUGUUCCACCUAUGAAGGAUAAAAGAAUGAAAUAUGAUCCUUGCAACAGGUGCCUGCAACAAGCGUGAGGAUCUGUCUUUAAAACCGGCUUUUACUGCUAAGCCACACUGCGAAAGGGAGAGAUGCACAGCUGACGCGCUCGAGGUGGAAGAUUCUGCUGUCUUUCAGGCUGUAAAGAUAGAGCUAAGAGAUAGAACUAUGCUGAUCCAGAAUACACCAUAGAGUCUAUAGAGUGGGAGAGGCUUCUCUUCUCUGGGAGAGGCUUCUCUUCUCAUGGAGAUGCUUCUUUUCUCUACAAACCCCGUAAUACCCUCGAAUAAGGGUAUGAAAAUAAGCCAAAAAAAGGCCACAUACAUAUAACCGCAGCUUACAGUUUCACUUGAGGGAAAUCGCACCUUGCCUCUCCGUUUUCUCCCUUCCCCCAACUCCGCCCGCCCCUCUGAUCACGACUUACCUCACCUCUGGGUAUGACAUAACCCAACUUUUGCCGCUGCUGCUGCGACUGCGCUGCUCUUGCCGCUGCUGCCUCUGCCGCUGCCGCUGCGACUGCUCUGUGGAAAGUUAAACACAAAAAUUUGUUUGUCGUUCGCUUUGAAAAUUUUGCAACUUGGAAAGUUGCUUUUGUUGCUGUUGUUGCUGGUGUUUCUGGGGCAGCAAAUUGAAUUUCACAUUAGUGUUGCAGUUGCAAUUACCCCCGCCCGCCCCCCUCCCCGAAAAACGAAAAAAAGAUCGAGAGGAAAAGCUCCAGGAAAAUUGUGCAAUGCGGCCGCACAUUUAGAAAGUAUCAUAUGGGGGCCGCGGCCCCUCCCCCGACUUUCAUUUGAAUAGGCGGCUGCUAACAAAACAAACAUACAAUAAAUUGAGAUACAUUUCGGAAAAGUAACUCCUGUAUCUGUAUCUGUAUCUCUCUCUCCCCUGGCUAAUGGUGGAUAAUAAUAAUAAUCACUUAAUUUGAACGCUAAUUUGUGGCUCUUCGUCCACUGGCGUUGCCGCUGCUUCUUUUUCUUUCUCUCCGAGUCGGUCUCCCAUUCACUUAAUGACUUUCUUUAGCCCAAAAAAAAAAAAUAACAACAAAAAAACGAUUGGAGAUCACCACGGGCUGGAAGGUUGUGAUCUGCUUUUUCUCUAAAGUCUAAAGAGGUUUUCCACCGGAGAAACGAUGUCUCAGGGAAAAUUAUGCAAAAAAACAAUGAAGAAAUGUUAGCAUUGGGAAGUCGAAGAUGGAGAUACUCUAGCAGAUUGGGGAAGAUAGUGGAAGAUCUGAUAGAUACUCUUUGAUAGAAUGAAACGAUUCUAAUAAGAAGUGAUUAAGAGUAUGGAGUCUUUCAAGUUUUGUGGAAUUAUCUUCAACCCAAAUAUACUUGGGUUAAGCCACUGCUAAGCCACACUGUAAGAUGGAGAUAUAAAAGGAGCAAUGGAGGAAGAUAGAAAGCUGUAGAGACUGAUUGAUCCUAUCUACUCUCUUUAGGACCAGGACAUAUUCAUUAUACCUUCCGUGAAGAGCACUUACAAUGAGUAAUGCCCUCUUUGCCAUGGUGAUGCCCUGCUCUGCUUUUGGCUACUUCUUGCCUGAGCUUUCGAAUGCAAAUCGUCUCUCUGUUCAUUUGAACAAUUUCAUUUGGGGUUUUUGAAAGUUCCAGGGAGGGAAAUUUAUGUGCCGGCCACAGAGAGCAACAACGACAACGAUAAAAAAAAGCGAAACGAAACCGAACAGAAAAAAAAAGUUCCCGAGGGUCUGGUAACAAUGCGGGGCAAUUCGUUAUGAGUGGGUGGGAGGGGGAGUGGGUAUGGGAGGGUGUUAUACGUCGAGUGGGGGGGAUUUGAUAUGGUCUAAUGGGGGACCGACGGAUGGACGGAGGUUAACCCCAAAGUAAGUGCCAAGUGCGGGGGCGAUAGACGGCGAAGGGUCCCGUCCGUCCGUCCGUCCGUCAGUUCGUCCGUCCCCAUGACAUUUCGACACGAACAUUCGUGUUUCUGAACUAUUGUUCACCAUUUGAUUUGUUGGUGUUGCUGUUGUUAUUGUUGUUUCUACUGUUGUAAAUGCUAUUUUAAGAUGCAUAUUCGAGAGAGAGAGAGGGAAAUAAAUUCAUUUUAAUAGAGUUUUCACCUUUCGAAUUGGGUUUUUUAUAACUUGUGUUCGGGUCGCUGGAUUGGCGCGAUACAAGCAAGCAAGUCACUUACUUUCGAUCGAUGUCAUUUGAUAGGUCAACAGGCAGCCGUCGAUUGGCGUAUAACAGUUGUGUAACACUCUGUUUGUGUGGUUUAUGGUUUAGAUGGGAGAUUUUUGUUAUGAGAUAAUUGUGUUACAUGAUUAUAAAAGUAAAACAGCUGGUAUAACAGAAAUAUAACACUUUUUAUUUAAAGUUUAUUCAGGAUGUCUGUUAUAAUACAUUUUCGUUGAAUUUCUUUCUUGAGGUAUAACAGUUUGUAUAAUAGUUAGUAUAACAGUUUUUCUUAGAAUUUAAGUAACGGGGCUGUAAAAAUACGAUUUAUUUUUUACUUUGAAGAAGAUCUACUUGCUUAUGUGUGUAUAACAGCUGUAUUACAGUUGUAACUUCAAUCGAAUGUUUCUUAGUUUUAGAUUUUGUAUACCGGCUUGUACGUACAACAUACAUACAACUUCUUUUUGUGGUAUAACAGUUUGUAUAACAGUUCAUAAUCGAUCAAAAACUAAAAAUAAACCAUAAACACCAUUAACAACCAAUCAUGUAUUUCUGUAUAACACUUUCGCUGUGUAUAACACCUCAUAUAGUUCAUGCUGUUGUGUGUAUGACACUUCCUAAUGACCGC